rnacentral:rRNA from 1 species
CGGCAAUAGCCUAAAACUCAAAGGACUUGGCGGUGCUUUAUAUCCCUCUAGAGGAGCCUGUUCUAUAAUCGAUAAACCCCGAUAAACCUCACCAAUCCUUGCUAAUACAGCCUAUAUACCGCCAUCUUCAGCAAACCCUUAAAAGGARUAAAAGUAAGCAUAAUCACAACGCAUAAAAACGUUAGGUCAAGGUGUAGCCUAUGGAAUGGGAAGAAAUGGGCUACAUUUUCUAUCUCAAGAA